rnacentral:rRNA from 1 species
GACGUAGGGCGCGAGCGUUGUCCGGAUUUAUUGGGCGUAAAGAGCUCGUAGGCGGUUUGUCGCGUCUGCUGUGAAAACCUAAGGCUCAACCUUGGGCUUGCAGUGGGUACGGGCAGACUAGAGUGCGGUAGGGGUGACUGGAAUUCCUGGUGUAGCGGUGGAAUGCGCAGAUAUCAGGAGGAACACCGGUGGCGAAGGCGGGUCUCUGGGCAGUAACUGACGCUGGAGGAGCGAAAGCGUGGGGAGCGAACAGG